UACAGAGGUGGCAAGCGUUGUUCGGAAUUACUGGGCGUAAAGGGCGAGUAGGCGGCUUGUCGCGUCGGAUGUGAAAGCCCGGGGCUUAACUCCGGGUCUGCAUUCGAUACGGGCAGGCUAGAGUGUGGUAGGGGAGACUGGAAUUCCUGGUGUAGCGGUGAAAUGCGCAGAUAUCAGGAGGAACACCGGUGGCGAAGGCGGGUCUCUGGGCCGAUACUGACGCUGAGGAGCGAAAGCGUGGGGAGCGAACAGG
rnacentral:rRNA from 1 species